rnacentral:rRNA from 1 species
AUUGAACGCUGGCGGCAGGCCUAACACAUGCAAGUCGAGCGAGCGGCGGACGGGUGAGUAAUGUAUCGGGAUGUGCCCGAUAGAGGAGGAUAACUACUGGACACGGUGGCUAAUACCGCAUACUAUCGGAUAAACCCAUAUGGGAUGAGCUAGUAGUUGGGGUAAAGGCUCACCAAGGCGACGAUCUGUAGCUGGUCUGAGAGGAGGCUCAGCCACACUGGGACUGAGACACGGCCCAGACUCCUACGGGAGGCAGCAGGGGGGAAUAUUGGACAAUGGGGGACAGCCUGAUGCAGCCAUGCCGCGUGUAUGAAGAAGGCCUUCGGGUUGUAAAGUACUUUCAGCUGGGAGGCGUUACCCGCAGAAGAAGCACCGGCUAACUCCGUGCCAGCAGCCGCGGUAAUUC